rnacentral:rRNA from 1 species
UACGUAGGGUGCGAGCGUUGUCCGGAAUUACUGGGCGUAAAGAGCUCGUAGGUGGUUUGUCGCGUUGUUCGUGAAAACUCACAGCUUAACUGUGGGCGUGCGGGCGAUACGGGCAGACUGGAGUACUGCAGGGGAGACUGGAAUUCCUGGUGUAGCGGUGAAAUGCGCAGAUAUCAGGAGGAACACCGGUGGCGAAGGCGGGUCUCUGGGCCGAAACUGACGCUGAGGAGCGAAAGCGUGGGGAGCAAACAGG